rnacentral:rRNA from 1 species
AUGUAUCUUCAUAGUGAUCCUGGGAUCUUGAUCCGUAGGCUGGAUUUUUUUGUUUUCUACUAUGUUUCCCAACAACAGGUCCUUGUAUGUCAUCAUCGUGGUUUCAAAGUGCUAAAAACUCCACCGGAAAUUCCGUUCUUGUUCCCUGUGCACACACCUUCAUAUCCACACUUGAUCAUGCUCCAAUAUCCAUCCGUGUUGUCCAUGCUAGGUCCAUCAUUUCUAUACAAUACAAAUGCAUCCAAUUUAGGCAGCAUCAUAUUCUUGUUGGAAAUAUACCCUAGAGGCAAUAAUAAAGUUGUUAUUAUCAUAUUUCCUUGUUCUUGA